rnacentral:lncRNA from 1 species
GAAGGUUCAAACAAAGGCAAGGGAAAAACGGUCAUUUCUACUAUGCAAACAUAUUAUGAAGAUGAUACUAUCGAAACGGGCUCGACGAGACGAAGACGUGGGCGCUGGUUUUACCUCGAUCGGAGCUACGAGCGCAAAGUUAUGGCCUUCGUUGUUUUGGCAGAAAACAAAUAAAAAUUUAUUCAUUUUCGGUCUAAACCGGUGAAUGUCCACAACUUAGGCACUUCGGCCAGCUGGGUUUAAAAGAGAAGGCACCUUUCGGGGAAAUAUGCUUUUGGUAAACCGAAAGCGUAUUCUGCCGUUUAUGUCUUCACCUAAAAUGCGCGGGCCCGGGGGUUGACUUCCUUUGUCUAACAGACGGGCGGGUCCCAUCUUAUCCAUUCCCCUUCUCUCUCUUAUUGGCGGGGCCUACCCCUUUCUCUCUCCUCCUCCCUGCAUCUUCUUCUUCUACCUCGUAAUAUGGACGCCAGAGGUGCCAUGGCCAUCGGCCGAGCUCACCGCCGGCGCUGUAGGCCACCUAGCGCGGGGCUCCGACUACCGGCCUGCUCAGGGCGACAGGGCGGACCCAUCCCGAGGCGAGGCGGGUGCAAGAGGGCUAGGAGGUGGCCUGGGC